rnacentral:rRNA from 1 species
UACGUAGGGGGCAAGCGUUGUCCGGAAUCAUUGGGCGUAAAGCGCGCGUAGGCGGCCCGGUAAGUCCGCUGUGAAAGUCAAAGGCUCAACCUUUGAAUGCCGGUGGAUACUGUCGGGCUAGAGUCCGGAAGAGGCGAGUGGAAUUCCAGGUGUAGCGGUGGAAUGCGUAGAUAUCGGGAGGAACACCUGAGGCGAAGGCGGGUUACUGGGCUGAUACUGACGCUGAUGCGCGAAAGCCAGGGGAGCAAACGGG